rnacentral:SRP_RNA from 2 species
UGGGAGUUGAUUCUAGGCAGUAACUUCGCCAAUCCGGUCAGAACUGAAAGGUAGCAGCCGUAACGAAUAAUUACUGGGUUGGUCUCAACUCCUUAUU